rnacentral:rRNA from 1 species
AGAAGAACAAGGAUAAGAGUAACUGCUUGUCCCUUGACGGUAUCUAACCAGAAAGCCACGGCUAACUACGUGCCAGCAGCCGCGGUAAUACGUAGGUGGCAAGCGUUGUCCGGAUUUAUUGGGCGUAAAGCGCGCGCAGGCGGUCUUUUAAGUCUGAUGUGAAAGCCCCCGGCUUAACCGGGGAGGGUCAUUGGAAACUGGAAGACUGGAGUGCAGAAGAGGAGAGUGGAAUUCCACGUGUAGCGGUGAAAUGCGUAGAUAUGUGGAGGAACACCAGUGGCGAAGGCGACUCUCUGGUCUGUAACUGACGCUGAGGCGCGAAAGCGUGGGGAGCAAACAGGAUUAGAUACCCUGGUAGUCCACGCCGUAAACGAUGAGUGCUAAGUGUUAGGGGGUUUCCGCCCCUUAGUGCUGCAGCUAACGCAUUAAGCACUCCGCCUGGGGAGUACGACCGCAAGGUUGAAACUCAAAGGAAUUGACGGGGGCCCGCACAAGCGGUGGAGCAUGUGGUUUAAUUCGAAG